rnacentral:rRNA from 1 species
AUUGAACGCUGGCGGCAGGCCUAACACAUGCAAGUCGAACGGUAACAGGAAGCAGCUUGCUGCUUUGCUGACGAGUGGCGGACGGGUGAGUAAUGUCUGGGAAACUGCCCGAUGGAGGGGGAUAACUACUGGAAACGGUAGCUAAUACCGCAUAACGUCGCAAGACCAAAGAGGGGGACCUUAGGGCCUCUUGCCAUCGGAUGUGCCCAGAUGGGAUUAGCUAGUAGGUGGGGUAACGGCUCACCUAGUCGACGAUCCCUAGCUGGUCUGAGAGGAUGACCCGCCACACUGGAACUGAGACACGGUCCAGACUCCUACGGGAGGCAGCAGUGGGGAAUAUUGCACAAUGGGCGGAAGCCUGAUGCAGCCAUGCCGCGUGUAUGAAGAAGGCCUUCGGGUUGUAAAGUACUUUCAGCGGGGAAGAAGGGAGUAAAGUUAAAACCUGUGCUCAUUGACGUUACCCGCAGAAGAAGCACCGGCUAACUCCGUG